rnacentral:rRNA from 1 species
GUUGUGAGGUUAAGCGACUAAGCGUACACGGUGGAUGCCCUGGCAGUCAGAGGCGAUGAAGGGCGUACUAAUCUGCGAUAAGCGCCGGUAAGGUGAUAUGAACCGUUAUAACCGGCGAUACCCGAAUGGGGAAACCCAGUGUGAUUCGUCACACUAUCAUUAACUGAAUCCAUAGGUUAAUGAGGCGAACCGGGGGAACUGAAACAUCUAAGUACCCCGAGGAAAAGAAAUCAACCGAGAUUCCCCCAGUAGCGGCGAGCGAACGGGGAGGAGCCCAGAGCCUGAAUCAGCAUGUGUGUUAGUGGAAGCGUCUGGAAAGGCGCGCGAUACAGGGUGACAGCCCCGUACACAAAAGCGCAUGUGCUGUGAGCUCGAUGAGUAGGGCGGGACACGUGGUAUCCUGUCUGAAUAUGGGGGGACCAUCCUCCAAGGCUAAAUACUCCUGACUGACCGAUAGUGAACCAGUACCGUGAGGGAAAGGCGAAAAGAACCCCGGCGAGGGGAGUGAAAAAGAACCUGAAACCGUGUACGUACAAGCAGUGGGAGCCCCACCACCAAAGCAUUUGCUGUACCGCGUUGACGGAGCGAAGCGACGUCAAACCGAUAAAACAGCAGUGUAAAGUGAGCCGCAGGGCGCUUUGCGCGACAGCGCAAAGGCAGGCGGUUUCGCGUAGCGAAAGCGAAUGCUUUGGGGUGGGGUGACUGCGUACCUUUUGUAUAAUGGGUCAGCGACUUAUAUUCUGUAGCAAGGUUAACCGAAUAGGGGAGCCGGAGGGAAACCGAGUCUUAAUUGGGCGUUAAGUUGCAGGGUAUAGACCCGAAACCCGGUGAUCUAGCCAUGGGCAGGUUGAAGGUUGGGUAACACUAACUGGAGGACCGAACCGACUAAUGUUGAAAAAUUAGCGGAUGACCUGUGGCUGGGGGUGAAAGGCCAAUCAAACCGGGAGAUAGCUGGUUCUCCCCGAAAGCUAUUUAGGUAGCGCCUCGUGAAUUCAUCUCCGGGGGUAGAGCACUGUUUCGGCUAGGGGGCCAUCCCGGCUUACCAACCCGAUGCAAACUGCGAAUACCGGAGAAUGUUAUCACGGGAGACACACGGCGGGUGCUAACGUCCGUCGUGAAGAGGGAAACAACCCAGACCGCCAGCUAAGGUCCCAAAGUCAUGGUUAAGUGGGAAACGAUGUGGGAAGGCCCAGACAGCCAGGAUGUUGGCUUAGAAGCAGCCAUCAUUUAAAGAAAGCGUAAUAGCUCACUGGUCGAGUCGGCCUGCGCGGAAGAUGUAACGGGGCUAAACCAUGCACCGAAGCUGCGGCAGCGACACUGUGUGUUGUUGGGUAGGGGAGCGUUCUGUAAGCCUGUGAAGGUGUGUCGUGAGGCAUGCUGGAGGUAUCAGAAGUGCGAAUGCUGACAUAAGUAACGAUAAAGCGGGUGAAAAGCCCGCUCGCCGGAAGACCAAGGGUUCCUGUCCAACGUUAAUCGGGGCAGGGUGAGUCGACCCCUAAGGCGAGGCCGAAAGGCGUAGUCGAUGGGAAACGGGUUAAUAUUCCCGUACUUGGUGUUACUGCGAAGGGGGGACGGAGAAGGCUAUGUUGGCCGGGCGACGGUUGUCCCGGUUUAAGCGUGUAGGUGUGUGUUCCAGGUAAAUCCGGUUCACUUUAACACUGAGGCGUGACGACGAGGCACUACGGUGCUGAAGCAACAAAUGCCCUGCUUCCAGGAAAAGCCUCUAAGCAUCAGGUAACAUCAAAUCGUACCCCAAACCGACACAGGUGGUCAGGUAGAGAAUACCAAGGCGCUUGAGAGAACUCGGGUGAAGGAACUAGGCAAAAUGGUGCCGUAACUUCGGGAGAAGGCACGCUGACACGUAGGUGAAGUGAUUUACUCAUGGAGCUGAAGUCAGUCGAAGAUACCAGCUGGCUGCAACUGUUUAUUAAAAACACAGCACUGUGCAAACACGAAAGUGGACGUAUACGGUGUGACGCCUGCCCGGUGCCGGAAGGUUAAUUGAUGGGGUCAGCGCAAGCGAAGCUCCUGAUCGAAGCCCCGGUAAACGGCGGCCGUAACUAUAACGGUCCUAAGGUAGCGAAAUUCCUUGUCGGGUAAGUUCCGACCUGCACGAAUGGCGUAAUGAUGGCCAGGCUGUCUCCACCCGAGACUCAGUGAAAUUGAACUCGCUGUGAAGAUGCAGUGUACCCGCGGCAAGACGGAAAGACCCCGUGAACCUUUACUAUAGCUUGACACUGAACAUUGAGCCUUGAUGUGUAGGAUAGGUGGGAGGCUUUGAAGUGUGGACGCCAGUCUGCAUGGAGCCGACCUUGAAAUACCACCCUUUAAUGUUUGAUGUUCUAACGUGGACCCGUUACCCGGGUUGCGGACAGUGUCUGGUGGGUAGUUUGACUGGGGCGGUCUCCUCCUAAAGAGUAACGGAGGAGCACGAAGGUUGGCUAAUCCUGGUCGGACAUCAGGAGGUUAGUGCAAUGGCAUAAGCCAGCUUGACUGCGAGCGUGACGGCGCGAGCAGGUGCGAAAGCAGGUCAUAGUGAUCCGGUGGUUCUGAAUGGAAGGGCCAUCGCUCAACGGAUAAAAGGUACUCCGGGGAUAACAGGCUGAUACCGCCCAAGAGUUCAUAUCGACGGCGGUGUUUGGCACCUCGAUGUCGGCUCAUCACAUCCUGGGGCUGAAGUAGGUCCCAAGGGUAUGGCUGUUCGCCAUUUAAAGUGGUACGCGAGCUGGGUUUAGAACGUCGUGAGACAGUUCGGUCCCUAUCUGCCGUGGGCGCUGGAGAACUGAGGGGGGCUGCUCCUAGUACGAGAGGACCGGAGUGGACGCAUCACUGGUGUUCGGGUUGUCAUGCCAAUGGCACUGCCCGGUAGCUAAAUGCGGAAGAGAUAAGUGCUGAAAGCAUCUAAGCACGAAACUUGCCCCGAG